rnacentral:rRNA from 1 species
UAAUACGUAGGGGGCGAGCGUUGUCCGGAAUUAUUGGGCGUAAAGCGCGCGCAGGCGGUUUCUUAAGUCUGGUGUUUAAGUGCGGGGCUCAACCCCGUGUCGCAUUGGAAACUGGGGAACUGGAGUGCAGAAGAGGAGAGCGGAAUUUCACGUGUAGCGGUGAAAUGCGUAGAGAUGUGGAGGAACACCAGUGGCGAAGGCGGCUCUCUGGUCUGUAACUGACGCUGAGGCGCGAAAGCGUGGGGAGCAAACAGGAUUAGAUACCCUGGUAGUCCACGCCGUAAACGAUGAGUGCUAGGUGUCGGGGGGGUCCACCCCUCGGUGCCGAAGUCAACACAUUAAGCACUCCGCCUGGGGAGUACGGUCGCAAGACUGAA